AUACGUAGGGGGCGAGCGUUGUCCGGAAUGAUUGGGCGUAAAGGGCGCGUAGGCGGCCCGGUAAGUCUGGAGUGAAAGUCCCGCAUUCAAUGUGGGAAUUGCUUUGGAUACUGCAGUGCUAGAGUGCGGAAGAGGUAAGUGGAAUUCCCAGUGUAGCGGUGAAAUGCGUAGAGAUUGGGAGGAACACCAGUGGCGAAGGCGACUUACUGGGCCGUAACUGACGCUGAGGCGCGAAAGCGUGGGGAGCGAACAGGAUUAGAUACCCUGGUAGUCCACGCGGUAAACGAUGAAUGCUAGGUGUUGCGGGUAUCGACCCCUGCAGUGCCGGAGUAAACACAAUAAGCAUUCCGCCUGGGGAGUACGGCCGCAAGGUUGAAACUCAAAUGAAUUGACGGGG
rnacentral:rRNA from 1 species